GACGAACGCUGGCGGCGUGCUUAACACAUGCAAGUCGAACGGAAAGGCCCCUUUGGGGGUACUCGAGUGGCGAACGGGUGAGUAACACGUGAGUAACCUGCCCUUGACUUCGGGAUAACUUCAGGAAACUGGGGCUAAUACCGGAUAGGAAUCCUUGCUGCAUGGUGGGGGUUGGAAAGCUUCGGCGGUUUUGGAUGGACUCGCGGCUCAUCAGCUUGUUGGUGGUGUAGUGGCUUACCAAGGCUUUGACGGGUAGCCGGCCUUGGAGGGCGACCGGCCACAGUGAGACUGGGAUACGGCCCAGACUCCUACGGGUGGCAGCAGUGGGGGAGAGUGCACAAGGGGCGUGAGCCUGAUGCAGCACCGCCGCGUGCGGGAUGACGACCUUCGCGUUGUAAUCCGCUUUCAGCAGGGGCGAAGCUUGUGAUGACGGUACGUGCAGAAGAAGCACCGGCUAACUACGUG
rnacentral:rRNA from 1 species